GCGGUGGGCGGAGACCUUCCUCCCUACUUAGACCAAUAAAUGAAACUAGUUAGUGAUGGAAAGUCGGUGGCAGAAGUGCAGAAGUGUCUGGUGAUAAACUGGGUGUCAAUUAGAGGAGCUCUCUCACCGGUGAUCAGCUACACAGCACAAGAGUCGUGCCUGUUGCUUGUUGAGAGAACAGAAGAUGGAGUGGCGCCAGCAGACCAGUGUCAGCUGUGCAGACGCGUUCAACGAGGCUCGACGCUGGAUUGAGGAAGUGACUGGAAAAUCAUUUGGUUGCAAAGACUUCCGUGCGGCCUUAGAGAAUGGAGUCCUGCUUUGCGACUUGAUCAACCAGUUGAAACCUGGCAUCAUUAAGAGAGUAAACAGGCUUUCUACUCCCAUCGCUGGUCUGGAUAAUGUGAAUGUAUUCCUGAAAGCCUGUGGGAAACUGGGGCUGAAUGUGUCUCAGCUGUUUCAUCCAGGAGACCUGCAGGACCUGUCCACUCGGGCAACACUCAGGCGAGAUGAAAGCAGCAGAAGACUCAAAAAUGUUCUCAUCACAAUCUAUUGGUUGGGUCGCAAAGCUCACCUGGAUGCUUUCUACAGUGGUCCUCAGCUGAACUUAAAGGCCUUUGAAGGGCUUUUAGGGUUGGCUUUGUCCAAGGCUCUAGAUGAGGCCAUGUUUGUGAAAGAUUGCUGGUACCCAGAGAGGGAGGACUGUCGGCGUAUGAGACCGGGCUACAAGACGGCAAACUCUGUGGACAGCAUUGAGGUUCAGGAAUCCCGAACCCUCCGCCAAAACAGCGAAGGUUGUGGAAGUGACGCUGAAGCUGAGCAGGUGUUCAAGAUGGAAAACACACAGCCAUCAACCCAGCAAAAAAAAGGUUAUUUCCCACCGCCACUACAACGGAGAAAGCAAGGACAGGAGGAGAAUGGAAGUCCGCUGUCCAGAGCAAAUCAAAUCCAGGUCAGGCCUGAGAGACCAGUUCAGGUCAACCCUGGCUGGAUUUGGAGCAAAUCACUCAGCGACAUCCCAAUGGUUUACCCUGUGCGUAAAGUUCCUGAUGGGAACACGAUUUACGAUGUGGACCAGGACACCAGCAUCGCAGGGGAGUGGAAUCAAGAAAAAAUACGCAAGUGCAGUGUCGCUGCCAAGGACAGUGAAGCUCAGUGGCAUGAUGAAUUGACAAAGUGGAAGAAUCGUCGCAGGAGCACCAAGUCUGACAUCCGCAGGAAGUCACAAGACAGAGAGCAUGUUAUUAACCAGAUGGCAAACGGGGCUGUGGCUAAAUACGAGAAGAAUGAAGCACAAGGUGGACUGCGGAAGAGAGAGCAGCAGUCACCACGAAGGCAUAAUCCUGCACCUCGUCCUUACUCCACCUCUCCUCCAGCAAAAGCAACCAGCUCUCAUCUCCGGCCACACACUCGAGCUCUGCUGGCCCGCAGCUACGCUACCGAGGCACCUUUCAGCCCCACGGCUCAACGCAGCUCCUACAACUCAGCCCACACUCAGGGAUCAUCAGUUGGAGCCAUGCCUGCCUCUGAUGGGAACUUCCUGGGAGAGGAGACCCACUUUGCCUCCUUGGCUUCAGAUGGAGCAGCAGUAACCACUCCAUCCCCGGACUGCCGGUUCAGCUCUCAGACACAAGUCAAAUUGCAGGGCAGCUCAGCUCCUUUCCAGCCCACAUCUGCAGUGGCCCAGUCAGAACAUGUUUUUACAAACCAAAUCUCCACUCUGAUCACAACUUUACAGCCAAACGUGAUGACAAAGUCAACUAACACCAGAGAUCCUCCUGAAUCCAUGUCGAGUCACAAGGAGCCUCCACUCUGUGUUGGUGCAAAGACAGGAGUUGAUGCUCUGGAGGACUCGUCCCAGGAAGAGAGCCAGAAGACAUCAUGGGAACCAGCUGCGGAGCCGGGCAGAGGCCAGCAGGCUGCGAGCUUCUAUAAGUACCUCUCCAGAACCGGAUCGUGGUCUAGCUCAGCCAGCCUCCCUCGUGGAUACCGGAGGUCUGAGGGCUCAUCUCGUCUCUCUUCUGCAAUCACGGCCAGGCCGUUUGGGACCAAGCCGUCCAGGGUGUCCUCGCUGCCCAGACUGCGCAACGUAGACGACAACCAGGGUCUGCUGCUGACAAGCGAGAAAGAGGAAUCUGUUUCUCCAACCAACAAAUCUGCACUCAAGAGACAGACUGCGACUGUCCAGCUGCAGAGUCCGCACCAGGCUUCAGUCAGACAGCAGGAAACUGGCCAGACGAAGCAGAAAGCUUCAGUACAGUUGGAGGAGGUGAAAGGAGCCACUCUCUCCGGUCAGACCUCCUUCCAGACCAAUGGCUACCACUCUCAGCCCUACACUCAAACCCAGCAGCUGCCACAGCCGUAUGCAGACCUGCAGACCCUCCACAACAAAAGCUCAACUCUCCCAUCUAACGCAAGCACCGACCUCCCAAAGGUGGAUCACAGUGACAUGAGAGUGAGCCUAACUCUCAAACCCAACAGUCGACCAGACUUUGGUUUCCAGACUCAUUGGGACUCCACCGGGGCGAGAGUCAAAUUCAUUCAACCUGACAGUCCAGCGGAGCUUUGCCAGCUGCGUGUGGACGAUGAGAUUGUGGCUGUUAAUGGAGUUGCAGUGGCACACAUGAACUACAACCAGUGGAAGGAUAAAAUGACAUCUUCCCUACAAACUGGCAGUCUGACCAUGGACAUCCGGCGCUAUGGCAACAAGGAUUGGAGCACCAGUGAGGGGAGCCAUCACAACCAGCCAGGCCAGAGCAGGGUCACCCUCAAUCUGACUGCUGCGGCGCCCGUUCUGACGGGUCGCCCUGAUCACCAUGCCAACAGUGGUGCCUCUGCAGAAACCGCAGGCAGGAAUUUGUCCCAAUUCAAUGGGCAGACAGACAAUGUUUUACAGGGUAAAGUCAUGCAUGGAGAACUUUCUGACCACCACAAGACAGCCAGAAGUAAAGGAGGCUCAGAAUCUGCAAUAUCUGAUCUCCAGGUGCCAUCCCUCAGCCCCUCCUCAUCCAGCUGGUCGUGGGACCGCGAGGAGGAUCGAAGGCGUCAGGAGAAGUGGCAGGAAGAGCAGGAGCGCCUCCUACAGGAGAAAUACCAGCGGGAUCAGGAGAGGCUUGAAUCAGAGUGGCAGAGAGCACAACAAGAAGCAAAACGAGAGUUAUGCAGGAAGCAGAACACAUUUGAGAUGACCAAUGGUGGUGGGGGCCCUGCCAGCACUCAGCUCCACGUGAAUGGAUUGACAAAUAAAAGCAGAGAAGAGGAGCAGAGCCCUGACAGAGAUGAGCUGAAAGAAGCAGGAUCAAAACCUCAAAGUAGAGCACAAGGAGAGCAGCAUGACAAAAUUACUGAACAAGCCUGGGCUGAGGACUUUGAACAGCUGUCUCCUGCACACAGGGCGAAGUCCAUGUCUACUCCAGCCUUAGCUGGCCCCUACAAACAGGCAAGAGGUGAUGAGAGGAAAAUAAAAGUACAGGCUGUGUCUAAAGCUGAGAAAGACAGGCAGCAGAUUCUGGAGGAGAUGAAGAAAAGGACUCAACUUCUGACCGACAACAGCUGGAUACGUCAGCGCAGCAGCAGCUUUUAUAAGGAGCCGGUCUAUCUCGGGGUUCCCAUGAAGAGAUACGAGUCUCUGGACGACCUGGACUCUUUACGUCAGUCUCCACUCUCCACUGCUACAUUCAGUUACCCUCGUCCUCAUUCAGCUGCUGCAGGUUACUAUGCCCCGAGUAGGAACUCCUCCUCCCGCUACAGCACUGGGUCUAUGUUAUCCCAGAGACAUACAUUUGACUCCUCUCAUCAUGGCGGAAGUCCUCGAGAGUCUUCUCACCUCUCCCUCCCCCUCGCAGUGUGUGGGCUGCAAACGACAUCUCGGAGGAACUGAGACUGGAAUCCAGGUUCGAAUCCGAAACGGGAAACCCUACUGUGAGCCCUGCUAUUUCCAACUCAAGUCCGCUGGUGCCCCCGCCAUGUGAUCAGCAUGCCGUACUCAGAAUCACAGAGUAAGCUGCCAAAUCACUGGGAACUGCUGUUGGAUAAAACUACAAAAUCACAGUGUAAACAUCUUUCAUGCAGCCAAGACAUGGCUUUUAUCUGCUACAGUAAUCACUGGUAAAGCUUCAAACUAUGUUGUGAUAAACGCUCUUCUGCAGAUUCACAUGCAAAGUAGACCCAUUGGCUGUUUUUUUUAAUCAAACAUGGUUAAUAUGGUCUUUUUUUCUGCUAAUUUGUUUCCAAGAAAACUUAGAUUUAAUAUAUGAAAUAAAGUAAUAAGGGGGGUUAUUAGUGUUUGGUUAAUGCUUUUAUUUUGAUGUUAGUAUUGCUGUAUGUCAUAUUUGUCCUGUAUGUAAUAUUUGUCCCAUAGUGCAUUAAGGAAUCAGAUUUUUCUUGUUGAUGUAACCCAUGUAUGAUGGCACAUUUUAACUUGUACUGAUGCACUUUCUGCUCUGUUGUAAUCUCACCAGCUGCACUUUGGGAUAAAUCAGUGGUAAAUACAAUGUGUGUUUUUCUGGCUUGAAAUGGCAAUCUUAACUGACAUGUUUUUGUAAAUAAAUAAAGUG